rnacentral:rRNA from 1 species
GACGAACGCUGGCGGCGUGCUUAACACAUGCAAGUCGAACGGAAAGGCCCUGCUUUUGUGGGGUGCUCGAGUGGCGAACGGGUGAGUAACACGUGAGUAACCUGCCCUUGACUUUGGGAUAACUUCAGGAAACUGGGGCUAAUACCGGAUAGGAGCUCCUGCUGCAUGGUGGGGGUUGGAAAGUUUCGGCGGUUGGGGUUGGACUCGCGGCUUAUCAGCUUGUUGGUGGGGUAGUGGCUUACCAAGGCUUUGACGGGUAGCCGGCCUGAGAGGGUGACCGGCCACAUUGGGACUGAGAUACGGCCCAGACUGCUACGGGAGGCAGCAGUGGGGAAUAUUGCACAAUGGGCGGAAGCCUGAUGCAGCAACGCCGCGUGCGGGAUGACGGCCUUCGGGUUGUAAACCGCUUUCGCCUGUGACGAAGCGUGAGUGACGGUAAUGGGUAAAGAAGCACCGGCUAACUACGUG